rnacentral:rRNA from 1 species
UACGAAGGGGGCUAGCGUUGCUCGGAAUCACUGGGCGUAAAGGGCGCGUAGGCGGCCGAUUAAGUCGGGGGUGAAAGCCUGUGGCUCAACCACAGAAUUGCCUUCGAUACUGGUUGGCUUGAGACCGGAAGAGGACAGCGGAACUGCGAGUGUAGAGGUGAAAUUCGUAGAUAUUCGCAAGAACACCAGUGGCGAAGGCGGCUGUCUGGUCCGGUUCUGGACGCUGAGGCGCGAAAGCG